AUGUUCACCUGGCAGAGGAGAUAUGAUUAUGAAGAUGGUCCUCCCAGGGUGAGACUUUUUCAUUACACUUCCAUAUGUAGUGACCCUGGUGAUUUCCCCAAAUGUGGGAAAUUUGGCUGCAUAAUUUAUGAUAGUGAGGGGCUGCAUUUGCAUGUUCCCCUG
ensembl:snRNA U1 U1 spliceosomal RNA